rnacentral:rRNA from 1 species
CGCAUCUGUGCAUGCAGCAUAUCAAUAAGCGGAGGAAAAGAAACUAACAAGGAUUCCCUUAGUAACGGCGAGUGAAGCGGGAAGAGCUCAAAUUUGAAAUCUUCAAGGUUUUACCUUGACGAAUUGUAGUUUAAAGAAGUGUUUUCUGUUGAAGUUUUGGUAAAAGUUCUUUGGAAUAGGACAUCAUAGAGGGUGAGGAUCCCGUAUUUGACCAUUAUUUUCAGCUGUGUGAUACACUUUCAAAGAGUCGGAUUGUUUGGGAAUGCAGUCCAAAAUGGGUGGUAAAUUUCAUCUAAAGCUAAAUAUUGGCGAGAGACCGAUAGCGAACAAGUACCGUGAGGGAAAGAUGAAAAGAACUUUGAAAAGAGAGUUAAACAGUACGUGAAAUUGUCAAAAGGGAAGCGUUUGACACCAGUGUUGUUUUCUCGAAAAUCAAUUAAAAAGAGUUAGAUUUUGUUGUGUAUUGACCUUAACAGCUUGCAUUUCAAUUUUCUUGCUUUUUUUAAUGCACUUUUCGUUUAACAAGUCAACAUCAGUUUCUUUUGUUGUAAAAAGGUCAUUGGAAGGUGGCUUUCUUUUCGGAGAAAGUGUUUAUAGCCUUUGACUCCUGCAAUCGGAGAGACUGAGGUCUGCAGCGUAGAUCCUUCGGGGUUAGAUACAUUUGUGCUAAGUUAUAGCUUUUUAUAGACAACUUGUUGACUAUGAUUAGUCUUGUAGCUUACUCGCUUAUGCUAUUUUACCUACGCUUAGGAUGUUGACACACGCGCGUGCUCG